rnacentral:rRNA from 1 species
UACGUAGGGUGCGAGCGUUAAUCGGAAUUAUUGGGCGUAAAGGGCGCGUAGGCGGCUUUUCAAGUGACGGGCGAAAUCCCUCGGCUUAACCGAGGAACUGCCUGUCAGACUGGAAGGCUUGAGACCGGGAGAGGUGAGUGGAAUUCCCAGUGUAGCGGUGAAAUGCGUAGAUAUCGGGAGGAACACCUGUGGCGAAAGCGGCGCACUGGACCACAACUGACGCUGAGGCGCGAAAGCUAGGGGAGCAAACAGG